rnacentral:rRNA from 1 species
AACUCUGGUUGAUCCUGCCAGAGGUCACCGCUAUUAGGAUACGCUUAAGCCAUGCGAGUCAAAGAGCAAUCUUGGCGCACCGCUCAGUAACACGUGGACAAUCUACCCUUCGGUGGGGGAUAAUCUUGGGAAACUGAGAAUAAUACCCCAUAGGCCUAGGAUGCUGGAAUGCUUCUAGACUGAAAGUUCCGACGCCGAAGGAUGAGUCUGCGGCCUAUCAGGUUGUAGCAAGUGUAACGCACUUGUUAGCCUACAACGGGUACGGGCCAUGAGAGUGGUUGCCCGGAGAUGGACUCUGAGACAUGAGUCCAGGCCCUACGGGGCGCAGCAGGCGCGAAAACUUCGCAAUGUGCGCAAGCACGACGAGGGAAUCCUAAGUGCCUAUGCUUUGCAUAGGCUGUUCUCCUGUCUAAAAAACAGGGGGAGUAAGGGCUGGGUAAGACGGGUGCCAGCCGCCGCGGUAAUACCCGCAGCCCGAGUGGUGAUCGUUAUUAUUGGGUUUAAAAUGUCCGUAGCUGGUCUAGUAAAUUCCUGGGUAAAUCGAAUUGCUUAACAAUUCGAAUUCCGGGUAGACUGCUAGACUUGGGACCGGAAGAGGUCAGAAGUACUUCUGGGGUAGGGGUAAAAUCCUGUAAUCCUGGAGGGACUAUCAGUGGCGAAAUUUCGGAAGCAAAUCUUCCUCAUUUAUCGUUGCUUCCGCAACGCUAAGGCGUCUGACUAGAACGGAUCCGACAGUAAGGGACGAAGCCCUGGGGCGCAAACGGGAUUAGAUACCCCGGUAGUCCAGGGUGUAAACGCUGUAGGCUUGGUGUUGGGGGUCCUAUGAGGACAUCCAGUGCCGGAGAGAAAUUGUUAAGCCUACUACCUGGGGAGUACGGUCGCAAGACUGAAACUUAAAGGAAUUGGCGGGGGAGCACCGCAACGGGUGGAGCGUGCGGUUUAAUUGGAUUCAACGCCGGAAAUCUCACCGGGGGCGACGGUUAUAUGAAGGCCAGGCUAAUGACUUUGCCUAAUUUUCCGAGAGGUGGUGCAUGGCCGUCGUCAGUUCGUACCGUAAGGCAUUCUGUUAAGUCAGAUAACGAACGAGACCCCUACCUUUAGUUACUAAUGGCUUUUCCGAAAGUCAAGGACGCUAGAGGGACCGCUGGCGCUAAGUCAGAGGAAGGAGGGGGCUACGGUAGGUCAGUACGCCCCGAAUCUCCCGGGCUACACGCGCGCUACAAAGGCUGGGACAAUGGGCUACAACCUCGAAAGAGGAAGUUAAUCCCGAAACCCAGUCAUAGUUCGGAUUGAGGGCUGCAACUCGCCCUCAUGAAGCUGGAAUCCGUAGUAAUCGCCUGUCAACAUCAGGCGGUGAAUAUGCCCCUGCUCCUUGCACACACCGCCCGUCAAACCACCCGAGUUGGGUUUGAGUGAGGGUGAAGUUUUUGCUUUGCUCGAACUCGAAUUCAGCAAGGAGGGUUAAGUCGUAACAAGGUAUCCGUAGGGGAACCUGCGGAUGGAUCACCUCCUAU